AUCAGAGAUUGCCACAGACACCCAGGGCAAUGUGAUUUGUCACUUAACGAGGGAGGCAGAUCAAGAGCAUCUCAUCCUCCGGCUGCUGAGUCAUCCUGCUCUGGCAGUUAUUUAAACAGAAGCCUCCAGGAGACAUACAAUCAACACUCCACUCAGACAAUGCCCAGACCUCCAGAAACCAUGUGUCAAGCUCGGAUUGCCUUAGACAGCUCACCCAGCUGGAACUCUUAUGGGACCUUGGCACCAGAGACCACAAAUUCCUCUUUGAAGUUUUCUAACAGCAACAAUGGUAUUUCUGACUUGGCUUUCUUGUAUUUCUCUCACGUUAACAAAAUCGGUUCAGCAUCUACCAUGGGCUACAUGCUGAGCUACAGAGUUUCGCUCUGUCGCCCAGGCUGGAGUGCAGUGGCGCGCGAUCUCGGUUCACUGCAAGCUCCACCUCCCGGGUUCACACCAUUCUCCUGCCUCAGCCUCCUGAGUAGCUGGGACUACAGGCACCUGCCACCACACCCAGGAAUCCAACUUGCUGUUUGCUAUCACAUGUGCUAUACGUGCUGUUGAUGAAACUGCUAAAGGGGCUGAAUGUGACUGACGUCUUUGGAAGGAUGAGACUUAGCGUGCCUGUACAGUUGUGUCCAAAUGCUGUCCUCAUCUCCCAAUGAAAAGGUAUUGUAAAUAAAGAGAAAGAUCAGAGGCUUAUUUUAAACACUAAAUAUGAGCUAGGAGCUGUCCUAGACACUAUGUAAAAGUUUUAUUUAGUUCUCACUGUAAUGUUGGCCUUAUGUUAGCAUCCCAUUUUUCAGACUGAGGAAAUUAUGGCUCAGAGAGGUUAAGAGACUUAUUGAAGGUCACACAGCUCCACAAACUUUGGUGUAGAUUAAACGUGUACAUGGGUCUAUGUGACUUUGAAUCUUGCAUUCUUUACAUUAUUGGAAUAUUUCACAGAAGGAAAAUGACAUAUUAACAUGGCAAUAAGAUUUCUGGUUCCAGUCUGGUUACUGGUCUUCCAAGAGUGUUAUAGGAUUUAUAGCCUGAGCUCUGAAGCUUUGUUCUGAAGCAUGCUAUCAAUAUGAACAAAUUGGUAUGGAAGGAAGCCACAAAUUAUAUACUAAAAUCUAGUUCAUCAGAGGAAAAUAUAGUUAAAUACAUUUACAUUCCCAGAACUGUUAAUAUUGAAGAAUAAAACACACAGUGGGAAAGAGACGAGGAGAAAAUACGCCUGUUUUUAUGACUUGUUGAUAUCUACAGGGUUUUUCCUUAAGCCUCACAACAAUUUACAGCAUUGCCAGCAGCAUUCAGUACAUUCAGAACAGGAUCAUUUCACCCACAGCUGAACUAGGGCCAUGCCUGGGACAGACAGAGAAUGGCCUUCCAGCAGACAUGCCAAGAAGCAAGCCAGGGUCAGUGAGUGAAGAGGAGGGCAGGCCCAUUUGAAGCAACACAGUUUAUGUAAGUGUGAUCUAACCGCUUUCACUGGAAAUGGGUCAGACUCCAGUUGAGAGAACCAGGGGCCUGAAUGACCCCAGCAAAAUCACUGUGGCAAUUCUUUCAAUCACCUCUGAGAAUAUGGCCCUGUGACGACAUAAUGACGUUUGGAUUAAUUUCAGUCGGCUGUGUUUUCCCCUCCUUUCUUGCUUCCCCAUAGUUGAUUUGCCAAAUUUUUUUUGUUUGCUUAAAUACGCUAAACUAAACAGGAUACAUUAUAUCACAGUCUGUGAUAAAUUUACCACUGGGAAUAGGGAAAAAAGUAUGGGAUAAAGAAAUAGGUCUUUUUCGCCUCUCACAGCUGUGAUUCAGUUCUGACUCAAAAGGAAGUGUGCCACCUACUGAAUCACAGAAACCACUUCCUGUGGCUGUUUGGUUUAUUCUGGAGGAGCAUCAGGCCAAGUGCUGCCCUGCCCUGACCCUGACUGGCUCUUCAGAGCCAAGGCAUUCACAGCUUGAGGUGGUUUGGCCUCAGACUCUUGAGAACAUUGCAUAUUAAAUUACAAGUGUUUCGUUUCCUAGCAAGGAGUCUUUAGCAACAUGAAAACGAACGUGUGUUAUUUGCAAACCAAGUAUAUCAUUACUGAACCUGAAUAUCCUUACUUUUUCAUAAGGUACGUAUUCCGGAUGACCACUCUUAAGAUCUGAAUGUACACUGGUUCUGUUUUUCCUGAGGGGAACUUGGGCAGUCUGCAGGGUGGCAUUUACCAGCUGAGGGACUUCAAGAGCACCCUUUAAUCAGUGCGGCAGCACUCAACUUGUAUUCACUCACUCAAAGUAUUUUUGAGCAUGUACUUAUUGCCAUGUGCUGUGCUAGGUAGGGGUAGAGGGUACAGUGGUGAACAAGACCCCACAGCUCCUGACCUCAUGGCUCAUGUGUUCUACACCAUAAGGGAAUUAUGCUGUGUCUCCCGGGGCAGGGGCCUUCCUCUGUUCAUCAUGCAGCCCCAGCAUCUAGCACCUGGCCUUGCAUAAAGGAGGCUCUAAAUCAAGCUUGUCCAACCCAAGGCCCAUGGGCCACAUGUGGCCCAGGAUGGCUUCGAAUGCAGCCAAACACAAAUUUGUAAACUUUCUUAAAACAUUAUAAGAUUUGUGUGUAUGUGUUUUAGUCCAUCAGCUAUUGUUAGUGUUCGUGUAUUUUAUGUGUGGCCCAAGACAAUUCUUCUAUGUGGCUCAAGGAAACCAAAGAUUGAACACUCCUGCUCUAAAUACUUGUUUGUUGAAUAGAUUCAUGAAAAGAAAGAAGGAGAGAAGGAGGAAAGGAGGGCGGAAGGAAAGGAAGAAGGGAGGGAAGAAGAGAAGAAAGAAGCAGAGAAAGGAAGAGAAAAGAAAUUACGGCCAGUGCGGUGGCUCACGCCUGUAAUCCUAGCACUUUGGGAGGCCUAAGCGGGCUGAUCACCUGAGGUCAGGAGUUCGUAAGCCAGCCUGGCCAACAUGGUGAAACCCCAUCUCUACUAAAAAUACAAAAAUCAGCAGGGCAUGGUGGUGCAUGUCUGUAAUCCUAGCUACCUGGGAGGCUGAGGUAGGAGAAUCGUUGGAACCCGAGAGGCGGAGGCUGCAGUGAGUUGAGAUCAUGUCACUGCACUCCAGGCUGGGCAACAGAGUGAGAUUCUGUCUCAAAAAAAAAAAAAGAAAGAAAGAAAGAAAGAAAGUUACCAUUAGUUUUCUGUUGUAUUUGCAAGCAAAGACAAAAGCACCAAGGUACUUGUUUCCUUCUGUAAUUAGAGUUUCAAAUAGACUAAAAGUUUCUGCUCUUAGGUGGGUCUAGAGACUCUCUAGUACCUCAGGACCUCAGGACACAUGGGGUCUCUUGGUUUUCUUUUCAUUGUUGUUGUUUAUUUUAUUUUUGUUUUUAUUUUUUAACUUUAAAACAAUUUUUUGUAGAUGAAUAUGCUUACAUAUGUUUGGGGGUUUUUUUGAGACAGGGUCUUGCUCUGUUGCCCAGGCUGGAGAGCGGUGGUUUAACCACAGCUCACUGCGCCUCGACCUCCCAAGGUAGGGACUGCAGGUGUGUACAGUGGGGUGCACCACCACACCCAGCUAAUUUUUAAAUUUUUUUUUGUAGAUAUUGUCUCACUCUGUUGGCCAGACUGGUCUUGAAAUCCUGGGCUCGAGCAAUUCUCCUGCCUCGGCCUCGUAAUGCGUUAGGAUUACAAGCGUGAACACCGCACCCGGGCAGCAUGUGGUCUCUUAACCAGAGGAGGCCUCUUCUGAACUAGGUAGAGGUCCUGAGAAUUGAUUCUGAGAGUAAAAGGCUCUUUGUUCUCCUCAGAGUAGAUUAGAAUCCCUAAUGAUAGAGCAUCUAUUAUUCCUCUAGUGGUCCAUGCCCAACAGAUUCAUCCAAGAAUAGAUGAAGAUCUUUGUAAUGUUGUGCAAGUAAUCUAAUCACCCCACAGAAGAGCUGUGACUUAAAUUAUCCCAGAGUCGGCCCACCUGUUUUCAUAAAGAUCAAUGUAACUUGUAAAUUUCUUCAGUUCUCCUCACCUAUCAUCAUUUGACUGACAAAAUCCAGAAAACUAGGCUAGUUAUGGUGGCCUAUGCAUAUAAUCCAAGCUCUUUGAGAGGCCAGGGUGGGUGGAUUGCUUGAGUCCAGGAAUUCGAGACCAGCCUGGGCAACAAAGGGAGACCCUGCCUAUAUCCCAGCUAUGCAGGAGGCGAGGCCAGAGGAUUGCCUGAGCCUAGGAGGUUGAGGCUGCAGUGAGCCAUGAUUGCCCCACUACACUCCAGCCUGGAUGACAGAGUGAGACCCUGCCUUAAAAAUAAUAAUAAUAGUAAUAAUAUUUCAUAAAGAUACAGGAAACUAGAUUAUAAUUGACAUUUUCAAAGUGAAAUACUGUCUAGAAUGGUGCUUGGCCAACAGUAAGCUUUUUGUAAGUAGAAGUCAUUACUACUACUAUUUCUUUCAUUAUUAUUACCAUUACUACUUUUUUUUACAAAAGAAAAAAACCCUGGACAACACACUGAAACCAUUACUACUUCUACUACUAUAACUUAGGUUGCACCUGAUAGAGCCAGCAAUUUUUCCAAGGUAUGACAAUGGCCAUAUGUUUAAUGAUAUAAUUCUAUGGCUCAGUGUAUCUCAGCCUUUUUAAACCCUGCUCUUCUUUUGACAAUUGUAAAAAUCUUAAACUGACCUCCAGUUGAAAUCCUCUGUCAAGAAGAUAUUGUCGGCCAGGGGCGGUGGCUCACACCUGUAAUCCCAGCACUUUUGGAGGCCGAGGUGGGAGGAUCACUUGAGGUUAGGAGUUCGAGACCAGCCUGGCCAACAUAGUGAAACCCCAUCUCUACUAAAAAUACAAAAAUUAGGCAGGCAUGGUGGUGUGUGCCUGUAAUCCCAGCUACUCAGGAGGCUGAGGUAGGAGAAUUGCUUGAAUCUGGCAGGGCAGAGGUUGCAGCAAGCCGAGAUCACGCCACUGCUCUCCAGCCUGGGUGAGACUGUCUCAAAAAAAAAAAAAAAAAAAGAAAGAAAGAAAGUAAGAAAAAGAAGAAAUCCCAAUCUCUUCUUUUAUGUGGAUUCUUCCUCACUUGAAUAAUACUUUUCUUCCCCAGUAUCCUCCAUAUUAUCCCAGAGUCAGCCCCUCUGUUUUUGUAAAGAUCUACGUAACCUCCUCUAAGUUUCCCAGUUCUCACCUAUCAUAUCAUCUGGCUCAACAAAGGGCAGGAAGCUAGAUUCUAAUUGAUAUUUUGAGGCCAGGAGCAGUGGCUCAUGCCUGUAAUCACAGCACUUUGGGAGGCUGAGGCGGGCAGAUCACUGGAGGUCAGGAGUUCGAGACCAGCCUGGCCAAUAUGGUGAAACCUCGCCUCUACUAAAAAUACAAAAAAUUAGCCAGGCUUGGUGGCUUGUACCUGUAAUCCCAGCUACUCAGGAGGCUGAGGCAGGAGAAUAGCUUAAACCUGGGAGGAGGAGGUUGCAGUGAGCCGAGAUUGCGCAAUUGCACCCCAGCCUGGGUGACAGAGCAAAACUCCAUCUCAAAAACAAACAAACAAACAAACAAACCUGAUAUUUUCAAAAUUGAGGCAAUUAUAACAGCUGUUUAGCCAAGAAUUACGAUAGCAAUAAUAGCAAGAAAAUAAAUUAGUUCACAAAUGAGUCUCAGAAGCCCAGUGAUUUUUAUUUUAUUUUUAUUUUUUGAACUUUUAUUUUAGAAUCAGGGGAUACAUGUGCAGGUUUGUUACCCGGGUAUUUUGCAUGAUGCUGAGGUUUGGAGUAUGCAUGAAUCCAACCUGUCAUCCAGGUAGUGAGUAUAGUACCCAACAGACAGUUUUUUUAACACUUACUUCACUCCCUUCCCCAAUCUUGUAUUUCCCUGUGUCUACUGUUCCCAUUUUUAUGACUGUGCCAACAAUAAUUUUUUUUCUUUUUUCUUUAAAUAGAGAUGGGGGUCUCUAUUUAAAGAGCCUCCCAAAGUGCUAGGAUUACAGGUGUGAUCCAUUGCACCUGGCCCAUGCCAACAAUAUUUGAAACCCUUAUCUGCAUGUACAAGUUUGCUACUGGUUUUGUUUUGCUCAUUAAUACAUCCCAAGCAUCUAUACCUAGCUUGUAGUACCAGCAUGUAGUAGGUGCUUAAUAAAUAUUUAUUGAAUAAAUAAAUUAGUUUGACAUUAGUUUAACAUUUCAAGUAAAACAAAAUACCAUUCAGUUAAUUCUCUUCUUCUACUUUUUUCUUUUAAGAGAGACAAAUAGUCACACAUACAUCAGCAGGAGAGGAUAUAGUUUCCUGUGUUUAAGUUUUUAUGAGUUACUUUAGUUCAAAUGUCACAGAAAAUUAUAUUGAACUCUUGACCAAUCUAUCUAUUUUUUCCAUUGGAGUAUUGACCCAAAUAAGAAAUAGCAUAAAGGAAAAAUUAUUUUUUGGCAGAAAAAUAUUCUCUCUAAAUUCUUGUGUGUUUUGUUUUGAUUUUUUCCUUAGUGACUGGAGGCCAGUUUCAAUCAACUGAAGCACAGAUUCCAAAUUUUCAAUCUGGUUUUCUUGAGUAGUGACUGAGUGCCAAAAAUGAAGCAAUGACACAACAUCACCAUCAAGACACUCCCCAGCACGCACACACAUGCCAGAGUCCAACACCAAGACACUCCCCAGCACGCACACACACGCCAGAGUCCAGGCCAUAUUCGGGUGGCUUGCAAGCUUCUUCCCCCCAAAGUAUUUACUCUCAAAAUAAUGGUUUUUGUUUUGUUUUGGUUUGGUUUGGUUUGUUUUUUUCCAAAUACAUUUCUUCCCUAUAUCUUUAACCAAUUCUCAUAAAAUUUUGUCUAAUACACUGGUCAGUGUAUUCCAGACCCUAAAAGAUAACAUAAUGAAACUAUCUAUGACUAAAAGGUAAUCAGGAUCUUCUACUUAUCCUUUUUUCCUCCCUUUUAAACUUUAAUUUUGAUACAUUUGAGAAUGAAAUGAUGACAAUAAAUGCAAAGUAAUUAUUGAAGAAACAAUAAUUUUGUAUUAGCUUACUGAAAAAAAAAAAGAUAACCAAAUAUAUUUUGGCAGCCCCAAACGAGUCACAUGUGUAAUGCAGUGGGAGAGCAGUGUCCUGAAGGAAAAGGUGGCCUGCGGGACAGCCAAGAGAACAAACAUCCACUGCAAGUAAUAUGAGCUCUAAGUUUGGACUAGGCCUAUGUCUGCUCUGAGACUUGGGGCAAUUCACUUAAUCAGAGCCUUAAUCAGCUACAGACUAACAAUAUCCAUAUCUGCUACUUAUUUUGUAAAUCUCCUUUCUAAAGUUAACUCUAUUCCAUGUUCCAUAAUCCCAUAAAUUCUAGAAUCUUUUCCUCUUAUAGCCAAGUUGUUUAUCAUUGACAGAGAUAUUCACCUGGUCGUUUUGGCUUCUCUAAUCCUCCUGGUGAGAACACCUCCAAGGGAGCUUUCAGUGGCAUUUAAGGUCACUUGUGCUCUUGGGCCUAGAAACUGCCUUGAUCGUGGUUUUAGCUCACAUGAGGAACAAAACCCAUCAGAAGAUGUCAGAAGAUAAGGAUUUUUGUCCUGAUGCUACACUUACCAGCUGUCCCUCAGUGUUCUACUUCUUAAAAAAAGAGAGAUGGAUAAACAGAGGCAACCCGAGGAUAAAGGCCUUGCUCAGUGUCACACAUUUCAGUCACUAAAUAAGACACAAUGGAUGCCAGUAUUCUCAUCCCCUCACAAAUAAAGAGCCUUCAAGCUCUUGCAGUCAACAAGAACUUUUGGAAUGAUUUCACUGCCUGAAAAGGCAGAUACAUAGGUGACAUCCACAAAUAGGAAGAAAAUCAACCUGAACCUGAGUGUGUGGGCUCACUGACUCUAAGCAGUAGAGACAGAAGAGAAAUAAAGUUUUAGCAAAGAAGAGUUCUGAAAGAAAAUAAAUAUAGCUCGUUAUCAAGUGCUGUUUUUACACAGUAAAACAUGGGCAAAAUUACUCUUCUUUAAGUAGUGAUUCUUAUCUCUUGAUUAAGUCACCUACUCAUUCAUUUAAUAAAUACAUACUGAUUGUUUUCUA